rnacentral:rRNA from 1 species
AACGAACGCUGGCGGCAUGCCUAACACAUGCCAGUCGAACGAUGGUCUUCGGAUCAUAGUGGCGCACGGGUGCGUAACGCGUGGGAAUCUGCCCUUGGGUUCGGAAUAACAGUUGGAAACGACUGCUAAUACCGGAUGAUGUCGAUAAGACCAAAGAUUUAUCGCCCGAGGAUGAGCCCGCGUCGGAUUAGCUAGUUGGUGGGGUAAAGGCCUACCAAGGCGACGAUCCGUAGCUGGUCUGAGAGGAUGAUCAGCCACACUGGGACUGAGACACGGCCCAGACUCCUACGGGAGGCAGCAGUGGGGAAUAUUGGACAAUGGGCGCAAGCCUGAUCCAGCAAUGCCGCGUGAGUGAUGAAGGCCUUAGGGUUGUAAAGCUCUUUUACCCGGGAAGAUAAUGACUGUACCGGGAGAAUAAGCCCCGGCUAACUCCGUG